CAUCUUUCCGUACUCGAUUUGGGCACUUUGAGUUCUUGGUGAUGUCGUUUGGGUUGACCAAUGCCCUAGCUGCAUUCAUGGAUUUGAUUAAUAGGGUUUUCCAUUAGUUUCUGGAUCUUUUAGUCAUUGUGUUCAUAUAUGACAUCCUAGUGUACUUUAAGAGUGAGGUGGACACUACUAGAAAUUAUCCUAUUGCAAAAAACUUUUUGGCAACGGUUCCAAAAGUGUUCCAAUAGACCCUCUAUUGCAACAGUUGUAACCAUUGCAAAAAAAUUGAUUUAAUAGAAAUUUUUUGUAAAGAGCCAUUGUAUAAGAGAGUCUUAUAGCAAUGCUUUCAUGAGCCGUUGUCAUAGCGUCAUCUAUGGAAACACUUUAUUGGGUUAAGAAAACUAUUGUAGCAUUUUUUUAAUUUACUCCCCAAUAUUGCUAAAUAUUAAUGAAAUAUAAACAUUGUGUCGGAUCCCCAAUUUCAAUUUCAGCUCUUUCACUGUGCUCCGACUUCAAUUUCUUCACUGUGUACUAUCCCCAAUUUCAAUUUUAGCUCCUCCACUAUCCCCAAUUUCUAUUAAUGAAAUAUAAAUAUUUAGUUCAAUUUCUUAAAAAAGCUGGAAAGUUUGAUACAUGUGCUCUGAUUUCACUGCGCUUCGACCGCUGCUGCUCCGACUUCAGUUUCAGUUCUCAAAUUCACACUUCUGGGUCGAAGUGUUUUGUGAAUCUGGCUUUCGUGGGUUUAUGAUGUUUUUGAAUUAAACCAAAAGGAUCAUGGAGGAUGUGAAGUAUAUGAAGUUUGUAUCCCGCGAGGAGGGAGAAGGGUGUUGAUAUUGCUUUUGGUCAAGAUGCCAUAAAUGAGUACAAGGUAAACAAUUUGGUAGCAUGUGACCCUUUUGUAAGUUAUUCUGAAUACCCUUUUGUAUUUUAUGCCGAAGAAUUUGAUUUGUGUGUGCUAGUACUUUGUGGUGAAGUGGAUCUUGAGAUGCCCCAUAUAUAAAAUUAUGGGAAUUUGGAUACAGUCUUUUUGAAGUGUUGUUUUAAUUGCUAUUGUUCCUGAAUACUAUGUAAUGAUUUCGUUAUUCAUUUGUUGUGUAUACUUUGCGUCUUAAUUAUUUUUGACAUGGCUUUAUUAUGCGGUACUUGAGCUGAGGGUUAUUUCGAAAACAAUCUCUCUACCUCGUCGAGAUAGGAGUUAAGUCUGUGUUACCCUUGUUUAUCAUAAAUGUACACUUGUUAUCACCAUUGUAAUGUUCUGCAAAUUGAGUAGCAGUCGAUCAAGCAGUUGAGACUCUCUUUGUGUAAAGAAGAUCAAGAUAUAUGUACAACCUAUAUAAUGUAUAGGUCCAGCGAGUUUGUUUUAAUUCUUGGCUGAUGCCCAACUGUCAGACUAUUCGUGAUGUUUUCUUUUAGCAAAGGUCAAUGCCAAUAUAUUUAAGGGUUACUCGUGGCCUAGCUAUAAUACCCAUCCCACGGAAAGAAGACAGCCAAUCACCAAUAUGAUCUUGAGUUGAAAUAUAUGUGACUAACUGUAGUGAUCCUAAUUUUGAGUGACGGUUUGUUCUACUUUAUUUGAAUUAGAUCUUGCUAUUGGUUGACUAUGUAGCAGUCCUUUGUGUGUCAUUGAUCAUCCAAAACCAUAAGAAGAUGCUUAACAUGAAUAAUUUAGUUGGUUAAUUUGAUCAAUCGUAAACUAUACACUUGUUGUUGAUCAAAUUUGUGUAAAUUGAACAACAAUGGGCAAAUCAGGUGGCAUUUUCCUCUGUUUAAAGGUGUUUCUUAAAGUAAAUUUACAACAUUUUCAGCUAUAUAGUUCUAGCAAGUAGUGCUUGUCUUUGUUGCAGAUCAAUUCCCAAAAGUAAGAUUAUUUGUGUGAUGUCUAUGUUCAGUAAAGCUUGAUAGAUUAGACAAAAGCUACCCAACAGUAGUACAUAUAUAUUCAUAGUGUAAAAGGAAAACAACCCAAAAAAUUACACAUGUACCACUUAUUGAAAAGAAAAUCUUACCCGCAUAUGAAACUUGACAAUAAUCUCACAGCUGAGAUGACAUUUGCCUAUAUCAGGCUUACACUUUUGUGAGAAGUACAAUGAAAUAUAGCUUAUUUUCCUUGUCAGGCAUACACUUUUGUUUGAUUACAAAUAGAUUGACAUAUAAUAAAGCAUUGACUUGGGAAAGAAUCUUUGGAAGACUUUUAAUUGGAAGAGGCUCCUGUUCAAAAAAUAAAUCGUCCAUCGAUUUGUUGUAACAAUCAAGGUCAACCUACUUUUCUUCUUCUUCUUCUUCUCGUCCUUUAUUCUUCUUUUUUUUAUCUACUACCAGAUGUAGUAUGCUUUGUUGCACAAUUAUGUUAUGUUAGUCUUUGAGAGGCUAAAAUUAAUCAGUCAUUAGUCUCAUUUUGAAGAGGGAGUUGCUUUUCCGAUGUAAAUUAGGCUUGUAGAAACAACUCAAAGAACACUACUUCCUGCAAAUUUAUAGAAUUAAAAUAGCUGAAGUAUUUUAUGAGAAACGUUAAAACAAGUAUUCUCACUUUUGAAAUAGACAUAGUAAAGAGUCCAAGUAUUCUGGAACCGAAUAAUAUAAUACAGUUAUUUUUGAUUUUUUUACAACUUUUACUUUUCCUAUUUCCUAGUCCUCUUUCCUGCUCGUUGACACCUUUAAUUGCAAGAAUCUAAUGAAAGUGAUCCCCCUAUCCUUCUAGCUAGGGAUCCUCUUACAUUGAAUUCACUAGAUCUCCCCAUGUUUAUCAUAGUGAGGUAAUUGAUUGGGUUCAAAAUUGUGGCAUGACCUUAUUGUGUAAGAUGUUUUUUAGAAGCUCAGACAUCUAAAGUCAAUUGGCUAGGGUUUAUUCUGUGCUGCAUUUGGCUUCUGGUUUAAAUGUUACUCUUUGUCCUUUACUUGAAAGGAGGGUCUAUCAAAAGUAGGAGUAUUAUUUGCGUGCACUAUCCUAUCGGAAGUAGGGUAUGUUGUAACAUUUUUGAACAUCUUUUCUACCUUUAUUAGGGAUAUAGCAGAAAAAUUAUCAAACUACCCGCCUCAAAGCUAUUCCGAAAGGUGGAUAAGAAUUACAAGACUAAUCAGUUAUUAUGAUUUUCGUCAAUAAUCAAUCUAUAAGGAGCGUAAACAAGCUACUAAAUUAUAAUCACGUAUCUAGAAAAAGAAUAAAAUGGAUUACAUUUUACUACCCUUAGAAAUACUCUUUCUCAUCAUAUUAAGAUGCAUUUGUUCUUGCAAUACGAGUUAUUUAUGUUUUGUAUAACUAAUUAUUUCAAAUGAACUAAAGAUUCUCAAAUUUAUGAAAUUAAGUGAAUUUAAAGUUUAUGAAUGUACAAAUAUAAUUAAAUGAGUCACUAAGGUGUCGUGGUGAAGUUAGUUUUAACGUCAGUAUAACAAACUGAAGGUCUCGUAUUUGAGUCCGGGUGACGCUAUGCUAUUUUAUUAGGCCAGCUAAGACUGAAGCCGCAUUCUUAGGACGCUAUGCUAUUUUAUUAGGCCAGCUAAGACUGAAGCUGCAUUCUUAGGAUUUCCUUUAAGAAGUAAGAAUCCGAUUCAUUACUCCAGAAAUAUAUUGUCUACUUCCUAAUUUCCUUGGCUUAACAUUAACAUGAUUUUCUUAUAUCUAGAAUGCAAUAACGAUUUUCCAAAAAGGAAAACUGUGAUAGAAGAAAUGACUUUCUCUAAGAUAUAGAAUAUACAGACUAGCAUUCUCUCUCAAGCAACUAAACUUCUUAGAACAAAGACAAUUGCAUAGCAGUAUUUAGUGUCUUUUAAUCAAUAUAUUAUUGUUAAAUGCUUGAAUACUUGACAGAUGACUUGCAUCAAGAAAUUAAAGACAAACUAAGCAGCAUUAGAGAACAGAAGUGCCCGACCUCAAACAUGUAAAAGUCCAUAGUCAAUUACUUUUCUCCCAAAUGAAAAAAUAAUAUGUACUGUAAUCCCCAAAGUCGAAAAAAGUAUCAUACAAUUCUGAAUUAACACUUGUAUGCAUAAACUCUAGGGACACUUAAUGAGGUUGAUGUUCUCGAUUUUUUCUGGCACUUAAGAACAAGUAGUUGUUUUCCUGCUUGUUGGUCAAGCUGCUGUUGUUACCUAGGAAGAGUUUGUUAUGAUGAGAGUUAAAAUAGUUUACUGCUAAUUUUGAUGAUAAAAAUUAGGAAGGAGCAUUAUUUGAUUAGUUGCUAACAUUUAUGUAGAUCUUAUAUAGGUUAGACAAAAUGAACCAUUGUGUUAUUCAACAUUGUACUGUUGUCACUUUUGAAUCUAUGAGGUGCUUUGUUUCGUUGAUUUCCUAUAAGGGUGCUGUUAUUUGUUGAUGUAUGUUAGUCUUUGUUAUCCAAGAUGCUCUUUUGAAGUCUUUGUGGAGUGAAGAGCUUUGUUUAUUUCCUUUUUUCCUUUGCUUCCUUGCUCAUUAUGGUAUUAUACACAAUUGCCCAACUUUUACCCUCUUUAUUGUUUUUGUAGUUAUCCUUCCUAUGUUGUAACUGGAAAUUAAAUAUUUUGUCAUUUAAGUGCUAAUUGAAAUUAUAUAGUCUCUUUUUAUAGGUGUCCAAAAUGAAGAAAGAGAUGAAGAAAGAAGUGAUAAAAGAAAUUGACCUUACUUGAGAAGAUUUUUGAUUUCUUGGUAGAUGCUUUAAUAUCGAUUUUUUGAUAUUGAAAUUCAUGAAAGUUUUUAACAUUUUGCUUUUGGGUUAAGAUACUAGUCUUUUGCAUAUUUUACUUGGAUUAUUAUUAAUGAAAGAUUCUUUGUGGUGUGUA